rnacentral:rRNA from 1 species
GACGAACGCUGGCGGCGUGCUUAACACAUGCAAGUCGAACGGAAAGGCCUGCUUUCCCUUGUGGAUUGCGGGUACUCGAGUGGCGAACGGGUGAGUAACACGUGAGUGAUCUGCCCCCAACUUGGGUAUAAGCCUGGGAAACUGGGUCUAAUUCCCGAUAGGACUGCAGGGUGGUGCCUGUGGUGGAAAACGAUUUUCUAGUGGUUGGGGAUGAGCUCGCGGCCUAUCAGCUUGUUGGUGGGGUAAUGGCCUACCAAGGCGGCGACGGGUAGCCGGACUGAGAGGGUGGACGGCCACAUUGGGACUGAGAUACGGCCCAGACUCCUACGGGAGGCAGCAGUGGGGAAUAUGGCACAAUGGGCGGAAGCCUGAUGCAGCGACGCCGCGUGGGGGAUGACGGCCUUCGGGUUGUAAACUCCUUUCGACCGCGAGGAAGCCACCUGGUUGGAAGGGUGGUGACGGUAGUGGUAGAAGAAGCACCGGCUAACUACGUG